ACCAACCCCUCCCCCUCUGUAAUUUUGUACCCUGUAGUCAUGCGGAGGAAGCAAGAGAAAGGGAGGGCUCUGUAGUGCCUGCCAGGUCUCAAAGUUUUACUAUGAGGGCUUAAGGCUACAUUAAAUGAGCCAAGCAUGUUAUUUUCCUUGGAAUACAUUCAAGAAACUCUUCCAAGGAGGGAAAGAAAAGGCAGCCGUCACGUUGUUGCAGCACUUUUCAUCAAACAUUAACUGCUUCCUCUAUAGAACUGAUCUAUUCAAGGAGAGCGAAGCUCUGCUGCAAUGAUCCAGGAUGGGAAGGGCCAAGGAGGAGGAAAGAGUGAAUGGACUAGCAGAAGGUGACAUACCUUCCAACAUUUCACAGGCUUAAUAGAUGCUGCAUAUGUACAAGUAAGAUAUUGAUGAAAGAAACUAUGAAAUCACAAUCAUUGGACAAAUGGACUAUGCUGCCCAGUGAGAACACUGAGUUCUUUAGUUCAACAAGGUGCAGAGGAAUCUCAAAUUCCA